rnacentral:rRNA from 1 species
AUUGAACGCUGGCGGAAUGCUUUACACAUGCAAGUCGAACGGCAGCACGGACUUCGGUCUGGUGGCGAGUGGCGCACGGGUGAGUAAUGUAUCGGAACGUGCCCAGUCGUGGGGGAUAACGUAGUGAAAAUUACGCUAAUACCGCAUACGAUCUAUGGAUGAAAGCGGGGGAUCGCAAGACCUCGCGCGAUUGGAGCGGCCGAUAUCAGAUUAGGUAGUUGGUGGGGUAAGGGCCCACCAAGCCAACGAUCUGUAGCUGGUCUGAGAGGACGACCAGCCACACUGGAACUGAGACACGGUCCAGACUCCUACGGGAGGCAGCAGUGGGGAAUUUUGGACAAUGGGCGAAAGCCUGAUCCAGCCAUUCCGCGUGCAGGAUGAAGGCCCUCGGGUUGUAAACUGCUUUUGUACAGAACGAAAAGGUUUCUACUAAUACUAGGAGCUCAUGACGGUACUGUAAGAAUAAGCACCGGCUAACUACGUGCCAGCCGCCGCUGUAA